GACGAACGCUGGCGGCGUGCUUAACACAUGCAAGUCGAACGGAAAGGCCCUGCUUUUGUGGGGUGCUCGAGUGGCGAACGGGUGAGUAACACGUGAGUAACCUGCCCUUGACUUUGGGAUAACUUCAGGGAACUGGGGCUAAUACCGGAUAGGAGCUCCUGCUGCAUGGUGGGGGUUGGAAAGUUUCGGCGGUUGGGGAUGGACUCGCGGCUUAUCAGCUUGUUGGUGGGGUAGUGGCUUACCAAGGCUUUGACGGGUAGCCGGCCUGAGAGGGUGACCGGCCACAUUGGGACUGAGAUACGGCCCAGACUCCUACGGGAGGCAGCAGUGGGGAAUAUUGCACAAUGGGCGGAAGCCUGAUGCAGCAACGCCGCGUGCGGGAUAACGGCCUUCGGGUUGUAAACCGCUUUCGCCUGUGACGAAGCGUGAGUGACGGUAAUGGGUAAAGAAGCACCGGCUAACUACGUG
rnacentral:rRNA from 1 species